GACGAACGCUGGCGGCGUGCUUAACACAUGCCAGUCGAACGGAAAGGCCCUGCUUUUGUGGGGUGCUCGAGUGGCGAACGGGUGAGUAACACGUGAGUAACCUGCCCUUGACUUUGGGAUAACUUCAGGAAACUGGGGCUAAUACCCGAUAGGAGCUCCUGCUGCAUGGGGGGGGUUGGAAAGUUUCGGCGGUUGGGGAUGGUCUCGAUGCUUAUCAGCUUGUUUGUGGGGUAGUGGCUUACCAAGGCUUUGACGGGUAGCCGGCCUGAGAGGGUGACCGGCGACAUGGGGACUGCGAGACGGCCCAGAAUCCAACGGGAGGCAGCAGUGGGGAGUAUUGCACAAUGGGCGGACGCCUGAUGCAGAAACGCCGCGUGCGGGAUGACGGCCUUCGGGUUGUAAACCGCUUUCGCCUGUGACGAAGCGUGAGUGACGGUAAUGGGUAAAGAAGCACCGGCUAACUACGUG
rnacentral:rRNA from 1 species